AAAAAAAACGGAAGAGCCAAGCGACGCUCCAACCUCAGAUUUGUCAACGACGCGUGGUUCCCUUCCUUAGAUUUGUCAAAGAAAAAGGUGUCACUGGCAAAACAAGAGUAAAAAAAAAAAGGAAGAGCUAAGCGACGCUCCAACCUCAGAUUUGUCAACGACGCGUGGUUCCCUUUCUUAGAUUUGUCAAAGAAAAAGGUGUCACUGGCAAAACAAGAGUAAAUAAAAAAGGAAGAGCUAAGCGGCG